rnacentral:rRNA from 1 species
CACGUAGGGCGCAAGCGUUGUCCGGAAUUAUUGGGCGUAAAGAGCUCGUAGGCGGUCUGUUACGUCUGCUGUGAAAACUCAGGGCUUAACCCUGAGCUUGCAGUGGGUACGGGCAGACUGGAGUGCGGUAGGGGAGACUGGAAUUCCUGGUGUAGCGGUGAAAUGCGCAGAUAUCAGGAGGAACACCGGUGGCGAAGGCGGGUCUCUGGGCCGAUACUGACGCUGAGGAGCGAAAGCGUGGGGAGCGAACAGG